rnacentral:misc_RNA from 1 species
ACAGCUCUCAUGUUUGAGUAGCUAGGAUCCAAUUUAGGUGAUUCAAGACCAUGUAGAGCAUUAGUUAGCCACUCACAUGCCUCAAUGUUCUGAGGCAUUCUUGCCUCUUCAAAUGAACCAUCCGUUAAACACGUUACAUACUCAGAAGGGAUACGGAGUCUUUCAAGAAGCCUAUCAAGUUCCUCAAUCAAUGCCUUGUUG